CCAGAAGCAGAACUACAAAUAGUUUUGAAUUUUCUUCCUAUCAAUAAUAUCCUUAGUAAAAUUUGUAUCUACCAAAUUAAGCUAGCUUAGCUUAAAUUAAAACAACAACACCAACAACAACUAGGGUCUUAAUAGGACAGAAUGUAUGUGGACCUUAGCCCUACCAUAGGGGAUAAGCACCCCUAAUCUAUAACCCGAAUUCUUGACAUCCACACCUUCAUAUCAAGAGCUAUGCACUUAGAAAUUUGAAGUUGCGCCAUGUCCUUCCUAAUCAACUCGCCCAAAUACUUCUUAGGUCAUCCUCUACCUCUUCUCGUACUUACUAAAGCCAUCAGCUCACACCUCCUAACCGAGGCAUCUAGGCUUCUAAUCUCACGUGCCUAAACCAUCUGGCCUCACUUCAAUAUCUUGUCGUCAAUUGGAGAAACGCCCGUCCUCUCCCAAAUAUAUGCAUUCCUAAUCUUAUCUAGCCUUGUGUGCCCACACAUCCACCUUAACACCCUCAUUUCGGCUACUUUUAUUUUCUGGAUAUGUGCAUUCUUAACUGGCCAACACUCAACCCCAUACAUUUGGAUGGUCUAACCACUGCUCUAUUGAACUUACCCUUAAAUUUCAUUGGCGUAUUCUUAUCACGCUAGGCUCCAGACACUAACCUCCAUUUCAUCUAUACCACCUCAAUAUAGUGUGUGACAUCCUCAUCAAUCUCCCCAUCUCCCUGGAUAAUUGACCCUAGGUACUUGAAACUUUCUCUCUUGGGGAUGACUUGUGAGUCGAGCCUCACUUCCACGUCUGUUUCCUCGUUACGCUGCUGAACUUACACUCCAGGUAUUCCGUCUUAGUCCUACUCAACUUGAAACCUCUGGACUCCAGGGCCUGCC
rnacentral:lncRNA from 1 species